UACGGAGGGUGCGAGCGUUGUCCGGAAUCAUUGGGCGUAAAGGGCGCGUAGGCGGCCUGGUCAGUCGGAUGUGAAAGCCCGGGGCUCAACCCCGGAACGGCAUCCGAGACGGCCAGGCUGGAGACCGGGAGAGGAGAGUGGAAUAGCCAGUGUAGAGGUGAAAUUCGUAGAUAUUGGCUGGAACACCGGUGGCGAAGGCGGCCAACUGGUCCGGUACUGACGCUGAGGUGCGAAAGCGUGGGGAGCAAACAGG
rnacentral:rRNA from 1 species